rnacentral:rRNA from 1 species
UCUGGAAUUUCCGAGAGAUUGUGGAAGUGCUCGCAAGAGAACCGGAACACAGGUGCUGCAUGGCUGUCGUCAGCUCGUGUCGUGAGAUGUUGGGUUAAGUCCCGCAACGAGCGCAACCCUUGUCAUUAGUUGCUACGAAAGGGCACUCUAAUGAGACUGCCGGUGACAAACCGGAGGAAGGUGGGGAUGACGUCAAGUCCUCAUGGCCCUUAUGGGUAGGGCUUCACACGUCAUACAAUGGUCGGGACAGAGGGUCGCCAACCCGCGAGGGGGAGCCAAUCCCAGAAACCCGAUCGUAGUCCGGAUCGCAGUCUGCAACUCGACUGCGUGAAGUCGGAAUCGCUAGUAAUCGCGGAUCAGCAUGUCGCGGUGAAUACGUUCCCGGGUCUUGUAACACACCGACCA